UGGAGGUUGCCUCUAUUGGUGUUUUGUGGUGAGCCCAGCUGAAGGGUCAUGGGAUCAACAGCGGGAAUGACAGCCACUUGAACUUUGGCAGGAUGCCCUCCACGGCUCUGACAGAUGUUUCUGGUGCUAACCCACGAGGAUGCUUUGCUGAUUGCUUCUGGUCCCGACAGCGCUCGCUCCCAGACAGACUGUGAGCCCCAGCGUGGGGGGACUGGAGCUACAGGAGACAGCCGUAGCCCUGGAGCACUCCAUCAUUUUGCCAUGCAGUGCUGAAAAAAGCGUCGGGUGGAUCUGAGGGUCCCAUCUGUGAAGAGGUGGUGAGCAGCUCAGAGCCGUGCCUGGGGACCCAGGAGCAGCCCUGUUGUGUCCACAGAGCAAACAGUGAAGGCCAGCAGGACAAAGCUGAGAAGGUGACACCUGGAGUCCCGGGCAAGUCAAUGAGAAGGGGAGAAAUGCUCAUUUAAUUUGGUUCAUUUGUUAUAAUGAUUCUUCACCAUGGGCCGUAUUACACACUUCAGUGAUUUUUGCCUCUAAAACCCUCUUGCAGGGAUUGUGAUGAAAGGUAUAUUUAUUGUACUUCAGCUUGGAAAGUUGUUUCAGAUGUUUCCAAUUCAUCAACCAGUUCAGACAUCUGUUCCUGGUUGGGGCAGAAAAGCUGAACUCGCACACACACACCAAAAAACGUUCAUUUUGGAGAUUUCUCUGAUGAGUUUUCUAAUCCUAACACGUUGUCAGAUAGUGCUAAUUGUUAGGUCACCCCCAGCCAGGUCGGGGCCACCCACGGCCGCUCGCUCCCCCAGCCACCCAACAUGGGGUCCCAGGGGAUGGGAGGCACAAACCCUGCAGUGCCGGAGAGGAGCCGAGCAUCUGCAAUGGUGGGAUCAUCCUGAGACUGCAAAGUUUGGCUUCAAGGUGGAGCAAAACUCAAAUAUUUAGAAAUUCUCCACUACAGAAAAUAAAACCUAAAAGGAAAUGUUGAAGGAGAGGGGAUAAAAUG